CCUACGGGGGGCAGCAGUGGGGAAUUUUGGACAAUGGGGGCAACCCUGAUCCAGCCAUGCCGCGUGAGUGAAGAAGGCCUUCGGGUUGUAAAGCUCUUUCGGACGGAACGAAAUCGCCUGGGUGAACAUCCUGGGUGGAUGACGGUACUGUAAGAAGAAGCACCGGCUAACUACGUGCCAGCAGCCGCGGUAAUACGUAGGGUGCGAGCGUUAAUCGGAAUUACUGGGCGUAAAGCGUGCGCAGGCGGUUACCUAAGCCAGUCGUGAAAUCCCCGGGCUCAACCUGGGAAUGGCGAUUGGGACUGGGUAGCUAGAGUGUGGCAGAGGGAGGUGGAAUUCCACGUGUAGCAGUGAAAUGCGUAGAGAUGUGGAGGAACACCGAUGGCGAAGGCAGCCUCCUGGGCUGACACUGACGCUCAUGCACGAAAGCGUGGGGAGCAAACAGGAUUAGAUACCCCUGUAGUC
rnacentral:rRNA from 1 species